rnacentral:rRNA from 1 species
GUACGAGAGGACCGGAGUGGACGCAUCACUGGUGUUCGGGUUGUCAUGCCAAUGGCAUUGCCCGGUAGCUAAAUGCGGAAGAGAUAAGUGCUGAAAGCAUCUAAGCACGAAACUUGCCCCGAGAUGAGUUCUCCCUGACUCUUAAAGAGUCCUGAAGGAACGUUGAAGACGACGACGUUGAUAGGCCGGGUGUGUAAGCGCAGCGAUGCGUUGAGCUAACCGGUACUAAUGAACCGUGAGGCUUAACCUUACAACGCCGAAG